rnacentral:rRNA from 1 species
UACGUAGGGUGCAAGCGUUAAUCGGAAUUACUGGGCGUAAAGCGCGCGUAGGCGGUUUUUUAAGUCAGAUGUGAAAGCCCCGGGCUCAACCUGGGAAUUGCAUUUGAAACUGGGAAACUAGAGUGUGUGAGAGGGGGGUAGAAUUCCAAGUGUAGCGGUGAAAUGCGUAGAGAUUUGGAGGAAUACCAGUGGCGAAGGCGGCCCCCUGGCACAACACUGACGCUCAGGUGCGAAAGCGUGGGGAGCAAACAGG